rnacentral:rRNA from 1 species
UACGUAGGGGGCAAGCGUUGUCCGGAAUCAUUGGCGUAAAGAGCGUGUAGGCGGCUCGGUAAGUCUGCUCUGAAAGCCCGGGGCUCAACCCCGGGAGGCGGGCGGAUACUGUCGGGCUAGAGUCCGGAAGAGGCGAGUGGAAUUCCUGGUGUAGCGGUGAAAUGCGCAGAUAUCAGGAGGAACACCAAUGGCGAAGGCAGCUCGCUGGGACGGUACUGACGCUGAGACGCGAAAGCGUGGGGAGCAAACAGG